GAUAGAGUUAGUAUAUUUUAAAUUAUAUAUAGGGUGUAUGGUUUGAAUGAAUUAAAAAUAUUAGUAGAACAAUUCAUAUAACCAAACUAAGAUUUGCGGAAUGCAGUUAAAGUCGGUGGUAUGAAUUUAUUGUUGGUAACGGAAUACUUAUGCACAUAUUGAUAUGACAGCCCACAACACCAUUAAUCAUCUAAAUUAGAGAUUUUGGUUGAAUUAAGAAAUUAAAAACGUCCCUUUUGGUUCUAAUUAUUAGAAUUUACCUUUUUUUUUUU
rnacentral:lncRNA from 1 species